rnacentral:ncRNA from 22 species
UCGGCGGGCCGUGACUGGCGCGCUGGGAUGGGACCGACCAUCGGGAAGCGGCCCCAGGACCGUCGCAACCCGUUGCCGGGGUCCGCGAGUCAGUGCCGUGCGCCUGGGCCGAGCCG